CUGGUAGAAGAGGAAGUAAGAGAUUGAAUGGGUGAGAGGGAUUCAAUGGGAAUAGAGAACAGAGGUUCUCAUUGCUGAGAUGGCAGGGGUCAUAGGGCAAAGACCAGAGAAGCCACUAGGAGCUAAGAACAGGCCCGACCAGCAGUCAGAAAGGAAACAGGGAUCUCAGGCCUGCGGCUGCAAGGAACUGAACACUGCCAACCACCUGGGGUCUGCGGCAGCUGUCAAGCAUCUCAGUAACUCUGGCUGGAGGAUGAGGCCUGACUUUACAUAAGCCCCUGUCACGGACUUGCUGGAGUGUUACCUCUUUGAAGCCUCACUCCCGCCCGUUAGGAAGCUGCUGCAGUCCUGACUCCUGCGUCACAGUCCUCUGCAGGACCGAGGCUGUGUGGACGGAGGCUGUGUGGAUGGAGAUCCCACCAUCACCGAGUUCGGGCAAGUCCCAUGAGGGUCUCAGCUCCUCAUCCGUAACAUCAGGAUGAUAAAGCCUCCCUCGCAGGAUGGCCGUGCGAGUGCCCAGAUCCCAGGAGAGGGCUGGUAAAUGGGCGUUGCCUGCCCCAUCCCUUUCUACCUGCACGGAAAAGGAGAGAUGGCCCAGCCUCAGGUCAUCAGGACCCUUGAGCCAACCCUGCAUCUCAGCCCUGACUCCCACCCAGAAUGCCGGCCUUCCUCACCAAGGGUCUGGCUGACACCUCUGCGAUGCUCAUCACUAGUCACUUGGGAUUCCCUGGUGAUAUGGUUUGGCUGUGUCCCCACCCAACUCUCAUCUUGAAUUGUAGUUCCCAUAAUCCCCACAUGUCAUGGGAGGGACGGGGUGGAGAUAAUUCAAUCAUGGAGCGGUUUCCUCUGUCCUGUUCUCAUGAUAGUGAGCUAGUUCUCACGAGAUCUGAUUGUUUUAUAAAGGGCUUCUUUCUUCGCUGGGCACUCAUUCUCUCUCCUGCCAUCAUGUGAAGAGGGUCUUUGCUUCCCCUUUACUUUCCAUCAUGAUUGUAAGUUUCCUGAGGUCUCCCCAGCCAUGCGGAACUGUGAGUCAAUUAAACCUCUUUCCUUUAUAAAUUACCCAGUCUUGGGUAUUCCUUCAUAGAAGCAUGAGAAUAGACUAGUACACCUGGGGAGCAAGGCCUAGGGUGAAAAGUGAAGCUCAGAGCAGUUACCCUCCAGCUGGAGGCACCCCCCACCACUACAGGUGCCAAAUGGGUAACAGCUGCCUGUCUGGAGCAGGUGAAUCGUUUUGCUCCCUGCGAGCUCAGGCUGUAGAAUGGCUGAGCCAGGGACUGUGUCCACGAGGCACCCUCCUUCCCAACUGCCAAUCACAGUUAGUGCUGGAGGAGACUGGUCUGACCUCAGCUCUGC
rnacentral:lncRNA from 10 species